rnacentral:rRNA from 1 species
GACGAACGCUGGCGGCGUGCCUAAUACAUGCAAGUUGAGCGCUGAAGGUUGGUACUUGUACCAACUGGAUGAGCAGCGAACGGGUGAGUAACGCGUGGGGAAUCUGCCUUUGAGCGGGGGACAACAUUUGGAAACGAAUGCUAAUACCGCAUAAAAACUUUAAACACAAGUUUUAAGUUUGAAAGAUGCAAUUGCAUCACUCAAAGAUGAUCCCGCGUUGUAUUAGCUAGUUGGUGAGGUAAAGGCUCACCAAGGCGAUGAUACAUAGCCGUCCUGAGAGGGUGAUCGGCCACAUUGGGACUGAGACACGGCCCAAACUCCUACGGGAGGCAGCAGUAGGGAAUCUUCGGCAAUGGACGAAAGUCUGACCGAGCAACGCCGCGUGAGUGAAGAAGGUUUUCGGAUCGUAAAACUCUGUUGGUAGAGAAGAACGUUGGUGAGAGUGGAAAGCUCAUCAAGUGACGGUAACUACCCAGAAAGGGACGGCUAACUACGU